rnacentral:rRNA from 1 species
AUUGAACGCUGGCGGAAUGCUUUACACAUGCAAGUCGAACGGCGGCACGGACUUCGGUCUGGUGGCGAGUGGCGAACGGGUGAGUAAUGUAUCGGAACGUGCCCAGUCGUGGGGGAUAACGUAGUGAAAAUUACGCUAAUACCGCAUACGAUCUAUGGAUGAAAGCGGGGGAUCGCAAGACCUCGCGCGAUUGGAGCGGCCGAUAUCAGAUUAGGUAGUUGGUGGGGUAAAGGCCCACCAAGCCAACGAUCUGUAGCUGGUCUGAGAGGACGACCAGCAACACUGGAGCUGAGACACGGUCCAGACUCCUACGGGAGGCAGCAGUGGGGAAUUUUGGACAAUGGGCGAAAGCCUGAUCCAGCCAUUCCGCGUGCAGGAUGAAGGCCCUCGGGUUGUAAACUGCUUUUGUACAGAACGAAAAGGUUUCUACUAAUACUAGGAGCUCAUGACGGUACUGUAAGAAUAAGCACCGGCUAACUCCGUGCCAGCCGCCGCCGCUG